UUGUUUGGCUUCCUGUGCUGGGUGGGAGAAGCAACAGGCAGAGCUCUGCCUUGAGUUCUUCUCCCAGCCCCACUCACUACACAGACUGAGUUCCAGAUAAAAGCCAAAGCAAUUCCUCAGAAUGUCAGCUCUUCCCUGCCCUCCAGUCCCAGAAGAUGUCAUGCCACCCACCGGCAACACCUGGGCCAGUGUCCUAGUUCCUGCCCUUCCAGUGUGGUGCUAUCUGCCCAGUUCACACCAGAUGCCCGCUUCCUUCUCUGGGCUUCCGGGAGUGACUCAGGCUGAGACUUUAGAGAGUCACAGUCUUGGGGUUUUUCUGGAAAGCCCCCUUCCCAAGUUUUCCCAUCCUAUUGGUCCAAGAUGCAAAGCCUCGUCUAAUGAAGACUCCAGGCCUCGGGAUAGCCUCCCUUUCUAAUCUUGGGCUCCGCUGUGUAUCGGUCUGUCUGUAACUUCUCAGCUCUCAGAGUUCUGAGACAAGCUUGCUCCAGCACCAGCUCAGGAGAGAGGCCCAGCAUCCCCUGAUCACCUGCAAUAAGCUCUACGAACACUUCCUACUGAAAAUGGAGCAUUGUGAUUUGUCUCUUCCGCAGGCAGAGUUGACUUCCCCCUUCCACCAUUUGGGUCCUGGGAAUCAAGGACAGAAUUUCAGGCUUCGCAGCAAGCACCUUUACCUGCUGAGCCAUCUCGCCAGCCUACAGCACAGGUUUUUGUGCACACCAAUAUGUAUAUUCUCCCACGCACACAUGGAAAGAAGACUGGUAAUUGUGUUGAGUCCGGAGUUGGAAAAUUAAAGGGCAAGUGAGGGGGAAAUAGAAACCUCAACAAUCUAUGCCUUUGGAACAUUUUACAGAUUUUACUAUUUUAUUUUUAAUUAUGUGCAUGUGAGUGCAGGUGCCUGAGGAGGCCAGAAGAGGGCGUCAGAUCCUCUGGAGCUGGAAUUACAGGUGGUUGAGAGCUGCCCAACUUAGGUGCUGAAUCCAAACUCAGGUCCCCUGCAAGGGCAGCAAGCAUUCGGAACUUCUGAGCCAUCGCUCCAGCCCCAGCCGGUUGGAAUAUUAAGUAGUAUUGUUUCUCAGUUACAGGGGCGUGGGGACGCAUCUCCCCGAGUGCUUCGGCCCUCUCUGUUUUCUUUAAACCCACCAAGACAGUCAGUCACCAGACUGCCCUCGAAGCCUGCCACUCAAACCCUCUGACCUCCUACUGCUGUCUGGCAAAAGCUACAACUAAGGGGGAAACAGAGAGCUCCUUCAAGGGGAGUCCAGCUUUGGGGAGGGGAGGUUAACAAUACAGAGGGGCAGGGAGAGUAAACACCAUAGCUAACCGCAUCCAUAAAUUCAAAGCGGCUGUGGAGCUAAGGUGUGGCUCUGCUGACAAUCUGGAAAGACUUGCUGGUUGGGAAGCCUCGGAAGACGAAGAGGAUAAGGAAGGAGAGGAGGCAGUGAUGAGGACCUGUGAACUAUGGGUACUGUGCCCUUUCUCCUUCCUUCCAGAACAUUCCACCACCCUCCUUCCUGCCCCCACCCCUACUACACACACUUCACUGUAAGAAUGCUGGCUUAUUCUCAUUCAUGACAAUCUCCUUCACCUACCCGCUGGGUUUCCAGCCCUGGCCCAUCCCACAACCCAGGGGGACCCGUUUCUCCAACUGGAACCAACAAGCUGUGGCUGAGGCACUGGCAGGGAGGGACCAGCACUAUUGGAUCAUCUGCCUCCCGCAGCCAGUCUUUGGAUGUGAUGGCAGCAAGCAUAGGACCAUUGCUGUCUCCUGGUGAGAAUUGCUACUCAGGGUCACCCAUACAGGCACAUUUGCCUGUUCAUCCAUCCCUUGUCUAUCCAUCCAUCCAUCCAUCCCUUGUCCAUCCAUCCAUCCAUCCAUCCAUCCAUCCA